GACGAACGCUGGCGGCGUGCUUAACACAUGCAAGUCGAGCGGUAAGGCUCCUUCGGGAGUACACGAGCGGCGAACGGGUGAGUAACACGUGAGCAAUCUGCCCUUCACACUGGGAUAACCCCCGGAAACGGGAGCUAAUACCAGAUACGACCACUUCGGGCAUCCGAUGGUGGUGGAAAGUUCCGGCGGUGAAGGAUGAGCCCGCGGCCUAUCAGCUUGUUGGUGAGGGAAUGGCUCACCAAGGCUUCGACGGGUAGCCGGCCUGAGAGGGUGACCGGCCACACUGGGACGGAGACACGGCCCAGACUCCUACGGGAGGCAGCAGUGGGGAAUAUUGGACAAGGGGCGAAAGCCUGAUCCAGCAACGCCGCGUGAGGGAUGACGGCCUUCGGGUUGUAAACCUCUUUCAGCAGGGACGAAGCGAAAGUGACGGUACCUGCAGAAGAAGGACCGGCCAACUACGUGCCAGCAGCCGCCGUAAAAC
rnacentral:rRNA from 1 species